rnacentral:rRNA from 1 species
AUUGAACGCUGGCGGCAGGCCUAACACAUGCAAGUCGAACGGUAACACGAAGAAGCUUGCUUCUUUGCUGACGAGUGGCGGACGUGUGUGUCAUGUCUGUGAAACUCCCUUAUGGAGGGGGAUAACUCCUGGAAACGGUACCUAACACCGCAUAACUUCGCAAGCCCAAAGAGGGGGACCUUCGGACGGCUUUCCAUCCGCUGUUCCCUGAUGGGAUUAGCUAUUAGGUGGGGUAACGGCUCACCUAGGCGACGAUCCCUAGCUGGUCUGAGAGGAUGACCGGCCACACUGGAACUGAGACACGGUCCAGACUCCUACGGGAGGCAGCAGUGGGGAAUAUUGCGCAAUGGGCGAAAGCCUGAUGCAGCCAUGCCGCGUGUAUGAAGAAGGCCUUCGGGUUGUAAAGUACUUUCAGCGGGGAGGAAGGGAGUAAAGUUAAUACAUUUGCUCAUUGACGGUACCCGCAGAAGAAGCACCGGCUAACUACGUG